AAGCAGACAACUAGGAGAAAGGGUGAAUUUGAGGUGCCAACUCCAAAGGAUACAUCAAGGAUGGGCACAAUAACAUGCAGUAACUGUGGUCUGCAAGGCCACAGGUGGACAAUGUGUGGAGACAGACUUAAGGCCAAGUUUAUGAUAAGGAAAAACAACCACCAGGAAAACAGGGCAUCCUACCUAGCAACUUCAGCACCAAUCAGGCCACCUCCAGCUAGGGCCACAUCAUCAGGUCCAGCUCCAGCUUCAGGUCCAGCUCCAGCUGCAGGUCCUGCUCCAGCUUUAGGACCACUUAGGGGCAGGAAACCAGCAACAGCUUCAACAAGGGCAACCACAUCUGCUACAACAAGGGCAACCACAUCUACUGCAGUUUCAACAGGUGGAUCAAGA
rnacentral:rRNA from 1 species